rnacentral:rRNA from 1 species
UAUCAUGGCUCAGGACGAACGCUGGCGGCAUGCCUAAUACAUGCAAGUCGAGCGGACUUGAAGAGAAGCUUGCUUCUCUGAUGGUUAGCGGCGGACGGGUGAGUAACACGUAGGCAACCUGCCCUCAAGUUUGGGACAACUACCGGAAACGGUAGCUAAUACCGAAUAAUUGUUUUCUUCGCCUGAAGGAAACUGGAAAGACGGAGCAAUCUGUCACUUGGGGAUGGGCCUGCGGCGCAUUAGCUAGUUGGUGAGGUAACGGCUCACCAAGGCGACGAUGCGUAGCCGACCUGAGAGGGUGAUCGGCCACACUGGGACUGAGACACGGCCCAGACUCCUACGGGAGGCAGCAGUAGGGAAUCUUCCGCAAUGGGCGAAAGCCUGACGGAGCAAUGCCGCGUGAGUGAUGAAGGUUUUCGGAUCGUAAAGCUCUGUUGCCAGGGAAGAACGCUUGGGAGAGUAACUGCUCUCAAG